rnacentral:rRNA from 1 species
AUAGCCAUAAACAUAAGCAGAUCCAAAACAAAUCUGCUCGCCCGAGAACUACUAGCCACAGCUUAAAACUCAAAGGACUUGGCGGUGCUUUAUAUCCAUCUAGAGGAGCCUGUUCUGUAAUCGAUAAACCCCGAUAUACCUUACCAUUUCUUGCUAAUACCGUCUAUAUACCGCCAUCUUCAGCAAACCCUUAAAAGGCUGACAAGUAAGCUCAAUAAUAAUAUAUUAAAAAGUUAGGUCAAGGUGUAACUUAUGAAAUGGAAUGAAAUGGGCUACAUUUUCUGUUUAAGAAUACACGAAACCUUGCCUGAAAUAGGCGGGGUGAAGGAGGAUUUAGCAGUAAACUAAAAAUAGAGUGUUUAGUUGAAUAGAGCAAUGAAGCGCGCA